rnacentral:tRNA from 1 species
UGUAGCCCAGUUGGUAGAGCAUGGUGCUUGCAAUGCCAGGAUAGUGGGUUAGAUUCCCGCUA